rnacentral:rRNA from 1 species
UGCAAGUCGAACGGCAGCACAGAGAGAGCUUGCUCCUUGGGUGGCGAGUGGCGGACGGGUGAGGAAUACAUCGGAAUCUACUUUUUCGUGGGGGAUAACGUAGGGAAACUUACGCUAAUACCGCAUACGACCUACGGGUGAAAGCAGGGGACCUUCGGGCCUUGCGCGAUUGAAUGAGCCGAUGUCGGAUUAGCUAGUUGGCGGGGUAAAGGCCCACCAAGGCGACGAUCCGUAGCUGGUCUGAGAGGAUGAUCAGCCACACUGGAACUGAGACACGGUCCAGACUCCUACGGGAGGCAGCAGUGGGGAAUAUUGGACAAUGGGCGCAAGCCUGAUCCAGCCAUACCGCGUGGGUGAAGAAGGCCUUCGGGUUGUAAAGCCCUUUUGUUGGGAAAGAAAUCCAGCUGGCUAAUACCCGGUUGGGAUGACGGUACCCAAAGAAUAAGCACCGGCUAACUUCGUGCCAGCAGCCGCGGUAAUACGAAGGGUGCAAGCGUUACUCGGAAUUACUGGGCGUAAAGCGUGCGUAGGUGGUCGUUUAAGUCCGUUGUGAAAGCCCUGGGCUCAACCUGGGAACUGCAGUGGAUACUGGGCGACUAGAGUGUGGUAGAGGGUAGCGGAAUUCCUGGUGUAGCAGUGAAAUGCGUAGAGAUCAGAGGAACAUCCAUGGCGAAGGCAGCUACCUGGACCAACACUGACACUGAGGCACGAAAGCGUGGGGAGCAAACAGAUUAGAUACCCUGGUAGUCCACGCCCUAAACGAUGCGAACUGGAUGUUGGGUGCAAUUUGGCACGCAGUAUCGAAGCUAACGCGUUAAGUUCGCCGCCUGGGGAGUACGGUCGCAAGACUGAAACUCAAAGGAAUUGACGGGGGCCCGCACAAGCGGUGGAGUUUGUGGUUUAAUUCGAUGCAACGCGGAAGAA